rnacentral:rRNA from 1 species
UACCAGCACCCCGAGUGGUCGGGACGAUUAUUGGGCCUAAAGCAUCCGUAGCCGGUCUUGCAAGUCUUCCGUUAAAUCCACCUGCUUAACAGAUGGGCUGCGGAAGAUACUACAAGACUAGGAGGCGGGAGAGGCAAGCGGUACUCAGUGGGUAGGGGUAAAAUCCUCUGAUCCAUUGAAGACCACCAGUGGCGAAGGCGGCUUGCCAGAACGCGCUCGACGGUGAGGGAUGAAAGCUGGGGGAGCCAAACGGG